rnacentral:lncRNA from 1 species
GUGAUAAUCAGAAAUCCUAACUCUUGUCUGUUUUUCUUUCCUCCUCAGGGAAUCGCUUCCCUUUCGGAGAAUGAAGUCCUUGCCGGUGAGGCUCCUGGGCUCCAGUCCUGUCCUUAGGAACAUUUCACACUGCAAACAGUGCAACGGUCCUGGCCAGAGCAACAACUUGGCUGCCCAAAAUAGCAUGGAAAAUGAAGGGGCCAUUUUUAAAAAGCCCUUCCGACCUACCAGCAGAUCCUCCGGGGGGCAGGGAGAGAGGGCUCCCUUCGCCCAGAGACCAAAUUCUGCC